GGGGGCGACCUGGUUUCGACGUGGGUAGCAAAACCCGAGGUGCAUGCCGAGGCGCAGACAACCUCGUUAAUCCAGCUGCAAACCAAGUUAGUUGCCAACGACGACAACUACGCUCUAGCUGCUUAAUCCCAGCUAGCCUCUGACCGGGCCGUGCUUGUGCGCUCGGACUCCAGGGGUCACAUUUCACAAGCUCGUGGAGGCCUUCGUCCCGCAGGACUUCACUAAAACCCAAGGGACUCGCCGUCGCACUGCCCUGCCCGUCGGGAGGUGAGGCGGCUAAAAGCAAAGACGCGGCUAAGCAUGUAGAGCCGAAGGCGGAGUGCUUGCGGACGCGGGUUCGAUUCCCGCCGCCUCCACCA
rnacentral:tmRNA from 1 species